rnacentral:rRNA from 1 species
GUGUCUUCGAGUCGUUGAUUUCACACUGCCGAGAAAAGCCUCUAGAUAGAAAAUAGGUGCCCGUACCGCAAACCGACACAGGUAGUCAAGAUGAGAAUUCUAAGGUGAGCGAGCGAACUCUCGUUAAGGAACUCGGCAAAAUGACCCCGUAACUUCGGGAGAAGGGGUGCUCUUUAGGGUUAACGCCCAGAAGAGCCGCAGUGAAUAGGCCCAAGCGACUGUUUAUCAAAAACACAGGUCUCUGCUAAACCGUAAGGUGAUGUAUAGGGGCUGACGCCUGCCCGGUGCUGGAAGGUUAAGAGGAGUGGUUAGCUUCUGCGAAGCUACGAAUCGAAGCCCCAGUAAACGGCGGCCGUAACUAUAACGGUCCUAAGGUAGCGAAAUUCCUUGUCGGGUAAGUUCCGACCCGCACGAAAGGCGUAACGAUUUGGGCACUGUCUCAACGAGAGACUCGGUGAAAUCAUAGUACCUGUGAAGAUGCAGGUUACCCGCGACAGGACGGAAAGACCCCGUGGAGCUUUACUGUAGCCUGAUAUUGAAAUUCGGCACAGCUUGUACAGGAUAGGUAGGAGCCUUUGAAACGUGAGCGCUAGCUUACGUGGAGGCGCUGGUGGGAUACUACCCUAGCUGUGUUGGCUUUCUAACCCGCACCACUUAUCGUGGUGGGAGACAGUGUCAGGCGGGCAGUUUGACUGGGGCGGUCGCCUCCUAAAAGGUAACGGAGGCGCUCAAAGGUUCCCUCAGAAUGGUUGGAAAUCAUUCAUAGAGUGUAAAGGCAUAAGGGAGCUUGACUGCGAGACCUACAAGUCGAGCAGGGUCGAAAGACGGACUUAGUGAUCCGGUGGUUCCGCAUGGAAGGGCCAUCGCUCAACGGAUAAAAGCUACCCCGGGGAUAACAGGCUUAUCUCCCCCAAGAGUUCACAUCGACGGGGAGGUUUGGCACCUCGAUGUCGGCUCAUCGCAUCCUGGGGCUGUAGUCGGUCCCAAGGG